rnacentral:rRNA from 1 species
GUACUGAAAUUACGACUUCAUGAAGCUGGAAUUGCUAGUAAUGGCAGGUCAGCAUACUGCCGUGAAUACGUUCCCGGGCCUUGUACACACCGCCCGUCACACCAUGAGAGUUGGGAAUACCCGAAGCCUGUGAGCUAACUGUAAAGAGGCAGCAGUCGAAGGUAGAAUCAAUGAUUGGGGUGAAGUCGUAACAAGGUACC